UUUUGACCUCAGCUCAGUCGUGAAUACCCGCUGAAUUUAAGCAUAUAACUAAGCGGAGGAAAAGAAACUAACGAGGAUUCCGUAACUGCGAGUGAAAGGGGAAAAGCCCAGCGCUGAAUCUUUCAGCCACUGUGCUAGGAAUUGUAGCGUAUAGGUGCGACUGUCCGUUCGUUUCGUGCACCCAAAGUCCCCUUGAGCGGGGCUAUAGUCCAAAGAAGGUGCUAGACCUGUACGGGUGGCGAAGCGAACGGUUGGUUGCUCCUUGGAGUCGGGUUGCCUGGGAUCGCAGCCCAAAGUUGGUGGUAGACCUCAUCUAAGGCUAAAUAUGGCCACGAAACCGAUAGCAAACAAGUACCGUGAGGGAAAGUUGCAAAGAACUUUGAAGAGAGAGUUCAAGAGGGCGUGAAACCGUUGAGAUUGAAACGGAUAGAGUUAACGAAACUCGGCUGCAUUCAUCCGAUCGGCCUAAUGGAUCAAUAGCGUUCGCAUCCUCGAUGAGGGCAACGUUAUCGUUAACUAUUGGGUAAUUGAUCGGUGUAUUUGCGGCUGGUAUGCGCUGAGAGUUUUGUGAUCGCAUGUUAACGGGUGUGCAGUGGACCAUUCCUUCCGGGUGUGGAAACCUUCACAUCUUUAGGCAUGUCGAUUAUAAAGUUUUGAACGUGGCGUCUCCGCUAUUGUGCGUCGACUUAUGCGUACUAUUGUGAUUAUUGAAUAUUCGCAUGCGAAUAUUUGUAGUUAACGAUAUUGCGACAAAAGUGCGGACGCGUUGAGACGUGUAUCUCGGUGUGAACGUUGACCACCUAUCCGACCCGUCUUGAAACACGGACCAAGGAGUCUAGCAUAUGCGCGAGUCAUUGGGUGGUAAACCUAAGGGCGUAAUGAAAGUAAAAGUCACCUCGAUGUGGCCGAUAUGGGAUCCGGAUAACUUACGAGCCAUUCGGCGCACCAUAGCCCCGUCCCAUUGCUUGCAAUAGGGCGGAGGUAGAGCGCAUAUGCUGGGACCCGAAAGAUGGUGAACUAUGCCUGAGCAGGAUGAAGCCAGAGGAAACUCUGGUGGAAGUCCGAAGCGGUUCUGACGUGCAAAUCGAUCGUCUGACUUGGGUAUAGGGGCGAAAGACUAAUCGAACCAUCUAGUAGCUGGUUCCCUCUGAAGUUUCCCCAGGAUAGCUGGAGUUCGUAUGGUGCAGUUAUAUUCGGUAAAGCGAAUGAUUAGAGGAAUUGGGGACGAAACGACCUCAACCCUAUUCUCAAACUUUCAAUGGGUAUGAAGUCCCGCUUGCUUGACAUUAAUGAAGCGUGGACAUUGAAUGUGAGCUCCAAGUGGGCCAUUUUUGGUAAGCAGAACUGGCGCUGUGGGAUGAACCAAACGUCGGGUUAAAGUGCCAAACUUCCCGCUCAUGAGACCCCAUGAAAGGCGUUGGUUGAUAUAGACAGCAGGACGGUGGCCAUGGAAGUCGGAAACCGCUAAGGAGUGUGUAACAACUCACCUGCCGAAUCAACUAGCCCUGAAAAUGGAUGGCGCUUGAGCGGGAGACUUAUACCCGACCGUUGCUUGGCUUGUGUGUUUCUCCUCAUAUGAGAGAUUCGCCUGGCCGCAACGAGUAAGAGGGUCGCAGUGGUUUGCGUUGAAGGCUUUGGGCGUAGGCCCGGCUGGAGCUUCCACUGGUGCAGAUCUUGGUGGUAGUAGCAAAUAUUCAAGUGAGAUCCUUGAAGACUGAAGUGGAGAAGGGUUCCACGUGAACAGCAGUUGAAUGUGGGUCAGUCGGCCCUAAGAUACUGGCUAAUGCCAUGUGUUAUCGAGAGAUGGAGUUCAAAUCUGUCUCGUUUAUCGAAAGGGAAACGGGUUAAUAUUCCCGUACCUGGACACGGAGAUAAGCGCUCAUUGCGAGUGUUUAGCGCGGUAACGCAAACGAACUCGGUAACGUUGAAUAGAGCCCGAGCUAGAGUUCUCUUUUCUAGUUAAGGAACGAAUUCCCUGGAAUCGGUUCAGCCGGAGAUAGGGAUGUUGUUUCCGUAAAGCGCCACGGUUCCUGUGGUGUCUCGUGCGCUCUAUUCGGCCCUUGAAAAACCGAGGGAGGCUAUUUGAAUUUCGUGCCAGGCCGUACCGAUAUCCGCAGCAGGUCUCCAAGGUGAACAGCCUCUAGUCGAUAGAAUAAUGUAGGUAAGGGAAGUCGGCAAAUUAGAUCCGUAACUUCGGGAAAAGGAUUGGCUCUAAGGACUGGGCCGGUCGGGCUGCAGUGUGAAGUGAGCUCGGUUUGAUCCAUGCAGUGCAACGCUCGGAAACGGGUGGCGCUCGGCUAGCGUUCGAACUGUCUUGUGGACCGCUGCAGCUGUGUGCCGCGUCAAUAAUGGCGUUGGUGCUUCGGCGGGCGCUAAACAGUCGACUUAGAACUGGCACGGACUCGGGGAAUCCGACUGUCUAAUUAAAACAGAGGAGACAGAUGGCCCUUGCGAGCGUUGACUGUCUCUGAUUUCUGCCCAGUGCUCUGAAUGUAAAAGUGAAGAAAUUCAACCAAGCGCGGGUAAACGGCGGGAGUAACUAUGACUCUCUUAAGGUAGCCAAAUGCCUCGUCAUCUAAUUAAUGACGCGCAUGAGGGGCCGGUGGGUUUACUCACUUCUGACCCACCACCAACGGAACGAGGGAAAGCAGAGCUGGGGCCCUCUUCCGAUUGGCAUGGAACCGACCUCCACGUGGUGGCCCUGGGCAACGGAAUUCAAGAGAGGAUUUAAUCCUCUCUAUCAUUUGCAAGAUGGAUGAGAUCGAGGUAUCCGGCAAACAGGUUCCAAGUGACACCUUUCCCAUAGCUGGGGAUAUGGGUUAGGGCUCCUCUGACAUAACAGAGGAAUCAGACUCGUUCGCGCCCGGUCAUUAACAUCGAUCAGCGGGAGGGCCGGACUGAAGUAAAUUUCCUGUUGGCCCGAGUGCAGGUGGAGCUCGGACCCGAAAAACGAUCCCUAAGAGGACCACAACCCGAAGGGAUGGACGCAGUCGCCCCGGCACGUUUGGUGUUGGUUAUCCUGGACUGUUGUGGGACGAAUAGCUAUGCCUUGUUCAACUAACUCUUUUUUUGAACGAGGGACCCCUGAGCCCCGGCGUGAGCCAAUCUCAGGGA
rnacentral:rRNA from 1 species